rnacentral:rRNA from 1 species
ACGAACGCUGGCGGCAGGCUUAACACAUGCAAGUCGAGCGCUCACCUUCGGGUGGGAGCGGCGGACGGGUUAGUAACGCGUGGGAACGUACCCUUUUCUAAGGAAUAGCCAUUGGAAACGAUGAGUAAUACCUUAUACGCCCUUAGGGGGAAAGAUUUAUCGGUAAAGGAUCGGCCCGCGUUAGAUUAGAUAGUUGGUGAGGUAACGGCUCACCAAGUCUACGAUCUAUAGCUGGUUUUAGAGGAUGAUCAGCAACACUGGGACUGAGACACGGCCCAGACUCCUACGGGAGGCAGCAGUGGGGAAUCUUGGACAAUGGGCGCAAGCCUGAUCCAGCCAUGCCGCGUGUGUGAUGAAGGCCCUAGGGUCGUAAAGCACUUUCGCCAGAGAUGAUAAUGACAGUAUCUGGUAAAGAAACCCCGGCUAACUCCGUGCCAGCAGCCGCGGUAAUCCGGAGGGGGUUAGCGUUGUUCGGAAUUACUGGGCGUAAAGCGCGCGUAGGCGGAUUAGUAAGUCAGAGGUGAAAUCCCGGGGCUCAACCCCGGAACUGCCUUUGAUACUGCUAGUCUUGAGUUCGAGAGAGGUAAGUGGAAUUCCGAGUGUAGAGGUGAAAUUCGUAGAUAUUCGGAGGAACACCAGUGGCGAAGGCGGCUUACUGGCUCGAUACUGACGCUGACGUGCGAAAGUGUGGGGAGCAAACAGGAUUAGAUACCCUGGUAGUCCACACCGUAAACGAUGAAUGCCAGUCGUCGGGUAGCAUGCUACUCCAGUGACGUAGCUAACGCGUUAAGCACUCCGCCUGGGGACUACGGCCGCAAGGCUAAAACUCAAAGGAAUUGACGGGGACCCGCACAAGCGGUGGAGCAUGUGGUUUAAUUCGAUGCAACGCGAAGAACCUUACCUACCCUUGACAUCCCGAUCGCGGGAUCCAGAGAUGGAUUUCUUCAGUUAGGCUGGAUCAGUGACAGGUGUUGCAUGGCUGUCGUCAGCUCGUGUCGUGAGAUGUUGGGUUAAGUCCCGCAACGAGCGCAACCCUCGCCUUUAGUUGCCAGCAAUUCGGUUGGGCACUCUAAAGGAACUGCCGGUGAUAAGCCGGAGGAAGGUGGGGAUGACGUCAAGUCCUCAUGGCCCUUAUGGGCUGGGCUACACACGUGCUACAAUGGCGGAUACAGUGAGUUGCUACCUUGCGAGAGGGAGCUAAUCUCCAAAAUCCGUCUCAGUUCGGAUUGUUCUCUGCAACUCGAGAGCAUGAAGUUGGAAUCGCUAGUAAUCGUGGAUCAGCAUGCCACGGUGAAUACGUUCCCGGGCCUUGUACACACCGCCCGUCAC